AGGAUGACCCCACCGCCCAAGGCUGGGAUACCAGGAACUCUCUGGCCUGGGACUUGAACCCCUGAAGCAGCAGGCACUGAGAGCUGGCCUUCCUGCGGAGGAGCCUUCUGAGCCAAGACUGGCACGUCUUCCCAAAUGUAUACCCCACUCGGCCCUCGUCAGAUUUAUGAAACUAAAAACAAAAGAAAACAAAAAAAAAACCUCUAAGCUUCAGCCCUUGCUAAGCCUCAAAGUUGACAGCCAACCCCAAUCUGACAGACGAAGAGGAAAUUUGGACACACAGAGAGACACUGGCAAAAGCACAUGCACAGAGGAGAGACUUUAUGAGGACACAGUAGGAAGACAGCCAUCCACAAGCCAAGAAAAGAGGCUUCAGGAGAAACCAAACCUGCUAACACCUUGAUCUUGAACUUCCAGCCUCCAGAACUAUGAAAAAUAAAUUUAUGUUGUUUAA